rnacentral:lncRNA from 1 species
UUUUCAUAUCAAAGCCAAAAAGAUUAUCCAUAAUCAUUGAGAGAGCUGAAAAAGUAUUCUUAAGAGAAAAGACAAUGUUCUCAUAAACAAUCAUUGAAUAACCAGAUUCGUGAAGAGAUACAUUGAUCAAGAUUGAAGACACUUUUUGUACUUCUUUUAUUUUGCUUGUAAUAAAUUCUUUGUAAAGAAACGAUUGCGAAAAAUCCAGCUAGAAACUGGUGGCGAUCUUCUUGGGUGAGAGGCCUCAUCAAGAAGGAGCUUGACUUGAUUUUGUGUGAGUCUGCCGAGUGACUGCAAGGAUCAAGGGGUUAAGCAAUAGGAAAGAGAUUGUGUUAGAUAGAUAGGUUUCGAGGAAACUGGACAAUCUGUAAACAAGUCACAAUUCUUUCUAUUGGAGAAAAAGCUGAAAUCCAGUUGGAUUGUCAGGACUGGAUGUAGGUUGUCGUUGACAACUGAACCAGGAUAAACCUUGGUGCAUUCUAUCCCUUAUCCUUUUACUUUUAAUUGUUAAUCUUGUAUGCUAUGCUAUUAUAAUUCUGCUGUGUAUAAAUCUGAAUAAAUCUUGCAUCGUAUGAUUGUAUGUUCGAUCUUAAUUGUAUGCUAGACGUAUUCGAUUUUCUAUAUUGCUUUAAUUUGUUAAAGACUGAUAUAUUCUGAUUAUUUCGAGGUCAUAAUAAUCAACAAUUGGCCUCAGAGCCUGACUUUUCGAGAGGUAAAACUCAUAAAAGGAAUACGGCCUCAGUCGAUUUUCUCGGAGAAGGCGCUUCACUAACAAGACCCCCAGCAUUCAAUGGCACAACAUAUAUGUACUGGAAGCACAGGAUGCUGAUAUUUCUGAAAGCCAGUGGAAUCGACAUUCUUGACGCUGUUGAAAAUGGACCAUAUAUCCCCAAGAUCGCUGGAACAAAUGACUUGAUGAUCCCCAAGCCCAGAGCCGAAUGGUCUGAGGACGAUAAAAAGAAGGUAGGUUAUAAUGCUAAAGCUAAGAACAUUAUAAGAUCUGCUUUGUGUGCAGAAGAAUUCUUUAGGGUAUCAAACUGUAAAUCAGCAAAGGAAAUGUGGGACAUUCUUCAAGAAACACAUGAAGGAACCACAGAUGUGAAAAGAGCUCGCGUAAAUACACUUAUGCACGAAUACGAAUUGUUCAGAAUGAAGAAAGAUGAAUCUAUAAGUGAUCUACAGACGAGGUUUACACACGUUAUAAACAACCUUCAUGCCCUGGGAAAACAGGUGGAGAAUGAACAGCAUAUCGGAAAGAUCAUGAGGUGUCUACACAGAGAAUGGCAGCCCAAAAUAACUGCUAUUGCUGAAUCGAAAGAUCUGGCAAAAAUGACCACUGCAACACUAUUUGGAAAGCUCAGGGAGCACGAAAUGGAGUUGCAUCGACUAGAUGAGUCAGAACAAGAAAGCAGAAAAAAGAAAGGACUGUCUUUGAAAGCCCAAACGCAUCAAUCAAAAACUGAACAAGAAAGUUGCUCAGAUGAAUCAAGCAGUGAGACUGAUGAAGAGCCUGAGAUUGGUUUGCUUGUCAAGAAAUUUCUGAAGAAGAAAGACAACAAAGACAACAAAUUCAGAAAGCCAUCCAGCUCUAAGACUAGUGACAACAAGACAAUCACAUGUUAUGAAUGUGGUAAAACUGGUCACAUAAAGUCAGAAUGCUACAAAUUGCAGAACAAGAAUAGAGCUACAAAACCAAAAGGCAAGGAACCAGUCACCAAAACCAGAAAAGCUUAUAUUGCAUGGAACGACAACGAAGAAUCCUCUGCCUCUUCGGAUGAAGAAGAAGUCAAUUUGUGUCUCAUGGCAAAUACAGAUUCAGAAUCAGAAAAUGAGGUUAGUUCACAAUCUAAUCCAACAUAUGAUGAGCUACAAGAAGCUUUCAAUGAACUGCAUGAUGAUUAUGUGAAUUCCAUAAAACAGUUGUUAAGCACAAAGAAAAUGCUUGAACAAAUGAAUAUUGAACAUAAAGAAAUUGAAAAUUUAUGUGAACAACUGAAAAAGGAUUCACAGGAAAAAUCUGCAAAGUGCAUUGAACUUGAAAAUACUGUUGCAUCAUUAAAAUCUGAUUUAUUAAAUUUUGCAAAUAGUAAAGAUAAGCUAAAUGUCAUACUUAGCAAUCAAAGACAUGUUCAUGAAAAAUCUGGUUUAGGAUAUACACCAAAUAUGCAUGUCAAAAGAAAAAAUAAAAACAGAUCUGGUAUUGGGUAUAUGCAAACCAGAAAUGUCAAACAUGGUCAAAAAUCUGCUAUUGCUAAGAGUAUGUAUGACAUCUUUACUAAACCAAAUAAACAUUCAUCCUUUGAUGGCAAAUGUCAUUUCUGUUGCAGAAAGGGACAUUUUGUGUCUAAUUGCAAAUUUAAAAAAUUAGCCAAUCAAGGAUGGAAGCUAGUUUGGAUAGAAAAGAAAUCUGUGUUUGACACUAACCAACCAGGACCCAAUUUAAAUUGGGGACCUAAAACAAAAUUCUGAUUUUGUAUUGCAGGUGUGCUUGACAUCCACGAAACACUCAUGGUAUCUAGAUAGCGGAUGCUCAAAGCACAUGACUGGUGACAAAUCCAAAUUCCUGUCCCUGACAUUAAAGGAAGGAGGCUUUGUCAAAUAUGGUGAUAACAACAGAGGAAAAAUCAUUGGAAUUGGUGAUGUAGGCGAUGAAUCAACUGCAGUAAUCAAAAAUGUGCUAUAUGUUGAAGGAUUAAAGCACAACUUACUGAGUAUAAGCCAGCUAUGUGACAAAGGUUUUCAAGUAAGUUUUUCAUCACAAUCUUGCAUUAUUGAGCAUAAAGAUGACAAACACAUAAAGCUAAUUGGGGACAGAAUCAACAACAUUUACAUGUUGGAUUUCAAUUCUGUACCUAGUGCUGUAUGCUGCUUGUUAUCCAACUCAGAUGAAACAUGGCUUUGGCAUAAAAGAAUUGCUCAUAUACACAUAAAUCAUUUGAAUAAACUUGUCAGCAAACAGUUAGUCUUAGGUCUACCAAAUAGGAAGUUCUCUAAAGAUAGACUGUGUGAUGCAUGUGAGAAAAGUAAACUGGUUAAGACUCCAUUUCCCUCUAUAGACUUGGUUAGAACAAAUAGAGUUUUACAACUAGUUCACAUGGACCUUUUCGGACCUGCCCAAGUUAAGAGUUUAGGUGGAAACCUGUAUGGAUAUGUGCUGGUUGAUGAUUAUUCUAGAUUCACAUGGACUUACUUUUUAGCUCAUAAAAGUGAUACAUUCUCUGUUUUCAAAAAGUUUGCUGCUUUAGUACAAAAUGAGAAUGAUUUGAAAAUUGUUUCAAUAAAAAGUGAUCAUGGAGGUGAAUUCCAAAAUGAUCUUUUUCAAAAUUAUUGUGAAUCAAAUGGAAUCAACCACAUCUAUUCAGCCCCUAGGACACCACAGCAGAAUGGGGUAGUGGAGAGGAAAAAUAGAUCCCUAGAAGAGUUAGCUAGGACCAUGCUUAAGGACUCCAACCUACCUAAGUACUUUUGGGCAGAUGCAAUUAGUACAGCCACCCAUGUAGUGAAUAGAGUUCUCAUUAGGCCCCUGCUUAGGAAAACACCCUAUGAGCUUUACAAGGGUAGAAAACCAAACCUGUCCUACUUUAGAAUCUUUGGUUGUAAGUGCUUUGUUUUGAACAAUGGCAAAGAACACCUAGGAAAGUUUGACCCUAAGGCAGAUGAAGGUAUCUUUUUAGGAUAUUCCCAAACUAGUAAGGCCUAUAGAAUCUACAACAAAAGAACAAAAACCAUAGAAGAGUCAGUUCAUGUAAAGUUUGAUGAAUCUUUUACAGAAAACUUGAACAAAACUCCUUCUAAGGUUAUUGAAAUUUUGGACGAUGUUGUAGAAUCUGAACCACUAGAACAACCUAUAGCUGACCCUCCAACUAGUGCAGACCCUGUAGAACCUAUAGAAACCUGUGAGUUGCCUAAGGAAUGGAAGUUCAACCGAAACCACCCUUUAGACAACAUUAUAGGCGAUAUCUCUAAAGGUGUUGCAACUAGGAGAAGCCUUAGUCAGUUUUGUAACUUUACAGCCUUUGUAUCUCAGAUUGAACCUAAGAACAUUAAGGAAGCCCUGUUAGAUAGUGAGUGGAUACUUGCUAUGCAAGAGGAGUUAAACCAGUUUGAGAGAAACAAGGUGUGGAGUUUAGUACCUAGGCCGGAGGGUAAGCAUGUCAUAGGAACCAGAUGGGUGUUCAGAAACAAGUUGGAUGAGAAUGGUGUGAUAACCAGGAACAAAGCUAGACUAGUAGCCAAGGGUUAUAGUCAAGAGGAGGGAAUAAAUUUUGAUGAAACCUAUGCCCCUGUAGCUAGAUUAGAAGCCAUAAGAAUUUUAUUGGCUUAUGCUUGUAUAAUGGACUUUAAUCUUUAUCAAAUGGAUGUGAAAAGUGCCUUUCUCAAUGGUGACCUUCAAGAGGAAGUUUUUGUUAGCCAAACACCUGGUUUUGAAAAUCCUGAUUUUCCUAAUCAUGUGUAUAAGCUCUCAAAGGCCCUCUAUGGGUUAAAACAAGCUCCAAGAGCUUGGUAUGAGAAGCUCAGCAAUUUCCUUAUUCAACAAAACUUUUUAAGAGGAAAUGUUGACAAGACCCUUUUCACAAAAACUACUGGAAAUGAUAUCUUGCUUGUCCAAGUAUAUGUUGAUGACAUAAUAUUUGGAUCUACAAAUAAUAAAUUGUGCAAAGAAUUUGAAAAUUUGAUGAAAGGUAAAUUUGAAAUGUCAAUUAUGGGUGAACUAUCAUAUUUCUUGGGAUUUCAAAUUAACCAAAGCAAGCAAGGCAUUUUCCUUAGUCAAUCUAAAUACUGUUCUGAUUUGAUAAAGAAAUUUUGUUUUGAGAAUCUUAAGUCCAUUGAUACACCCAUGAGUCAAGGAAAUUACUUAGACCGAGAUGAGAAAGGCAAACCUGUAGAUGUUACUAGGUUUCGUGGUAUGAUAGGAUCUUUGCUCUACCUUACAGCAAGCCAACCAGACAUCAUGUUCAGUGUUUUUAUGUGUGCAAGGUAUCAAUCAAAUCCAAAGGAAUCUCACUUCAGUGCAGUCAAGAGAAUUUUCAGAUAUCUGGUAGGAACUAAGAGUCUCGGAUUGUGGUAUCCAAAAGGAUCAACCUGUACUUUAGUUGGUUACUCAGAUUCAGACUUUGCCGGAUGUAAACUCGACAGGAAAAGUACCUCAGGAACUUGUCAUUUACUUGGAAACUCUCUUGUGUAAUGGUUUAGUAAGAAACAGACAAGCAUCGCUUUAUCAACUGCUGAAGCUGAAUAUAUUGCAGCUGGGAGCUGUUGUGCUCAGAUACUUUGGAUGAAACAGCACUUAUUGGACUUUGGUGUUGAUUUGGGAACAGUACCUAUCAUGUGUGAUAACACAAGUGCAAUAAGUAUAACCAAGAAUCCAGUAAUGCACUCCAGGACCAAACACAUUGAAGUAAGACAUCAUUUUAUAAGAGAUCACUUUCAAAAUGGAAUCAUUAAGCUUGAGUAUGUUAACACUGCCGAACAGCUAGCUGACAUCUUCACAAAAGCUUUACCAAGAGAAAGUUUUCUGUACAUAAGGAUGAAACUAGGGAUCAUUGAUCCUAGUGAGGUAUGAUUGUUGAUUUUUUUGUGGGAUUUCUGGUGUUUGCAGUUUUUUCUCCAGUUAAAUCGAUUUGGAAAUCGAUUACCAACAUGGUAAAUGGUUUAUAAAAUCGAUUUGGGAACCGAUUGCUUUGGCCCCAGAAUUCAAAGUUCAGAAAAAAAAUUUUAACUUUAUGACAUCUUUACUAAACCAAAUAAACAUUCAUCCUUUGAUGGCAGAUGUCAUUUCUGUUGCAGAAAGGGACAUUUUGUGUCUAAUUGCAAAUUUAAAAAAUUAGCCAAUCAAGGAUGGAAGCUAGUUUGGAUAGAAAAGAAAUCUGUGUUUGACACUAACCAACCAGGACCCAAUUUAAAUUGGGGACCUAAAACAAAAUUCUGAUUUUGUAUUGCAGGUGUGCUUGACAUCCACGAAACACUCAUGGUAUCUAGAUAGCGGAUGCUCAAAGCACAUGACUGGUGACAAAUCCAAAUUCCUGAACUUGACAUUAAAGGAAGGAGGCUUUGUCAAAUAUGGUGAUAACAACAGAGGAAAAAUCAUUGGAAUUGGUGAUGUAGGCGAUGAAUCAACUGCAGUAAUCAAAAAUGUGCUAUAUGUUGAAGGAUUAAAGCACAACUUACUGAGUAUAAGCCAGCUAUGUGACAAAGGUUUUCAAGUAAGUUUUUCAUCACAAUCUUGCAUUAUUGAGCAUAAAGAUGACAAACACAUAAAGCUAGUUGGUGACAGAAUUAAUAACAUUUACAUGUUAGAUUUCAAUUAUGUAUUAAGUGUUAUAUGCUGCUUGUUAUCCAAUUCAGAUGAAACAUGGCUUUGGCAUAAAAGAAUUGCUCAUAUACACAUAAAUCAUUUGAAUAAACUUGUCAGCAAACAGUUAGUCUUAGGUCUACCAAAUAGGAAGUUCUCUAAAGAUAGACUGUGUGAUGCAUGUGAGAAAAGUAAACUGGUUAAGACUCCAUUUCCCUCUAUAGACUUGGUUAGAACAAAUAGAGUUUUACAACUAGUUCACAUGGACCUUUUUGGACCUGCCCAAGUUAAGAGUUUAGGUGGAAACCUGUAUGGAUAUGUGCUGGUUGAUGAUUAUUCUAGAUUCACAUGGACUUACUUUUUAGCUCAUAAAAGUGAUACAUUCUCUGUUUUCAAAAAGUUUGCUGCUUUAGUACAAAAUGAGAAUGAUCUGAAAAUUGUUUCAAUAAAAAGUGAUCAUGGAGGUGAAUUCCAAAAUGAUGCUUUUCAAAAUUAUUGUGAACUACAUGGAAUCAACCACAUAUAUUCUGCCCCUAGGACACCACAGCAGAAUGGGGUAGUGGAGAGGAAAAAUAGAUCCCUAGAAGAGUUAGCUAGGACCAUGCUUAAGGACUCCAACCUACCUAAGUACUUUUGGGCAGAUGCAAUUAGUACAGCCACUCAUGUUGUAAAUAGAGUUCUCAUUAGGCCCCUGCUUAGGAAAACACCCUAUGAGCUUUACAAGGGUAGAAAACCAAACCUUUCCUACUUUAGAAUCUUUGGUUGUAAGUGCUUUGUGUUGAACAAUGGCAAAGAACACCUAGGAAAGUUUGACCCUAAGGCAGAUGAAGGUAUCUUUUUAGGAUAUUCCCAAACUAGUAAGGCCUAUAGAAUCUACAACAAAAGAACAAAGACCAUAGAAGAGUCAGUUCAUGUAAAGUUUGAUGAAUUAUUUACAGAAAACUUGAACAAAACUCCUUCUAAGGUUGAUGACUUUUUGGACGAAGUUGUAGAAUCUGAACCACUAGAACAACCUAUAGCUGACCCUCCAACUAGAUCAGACCUUGUAGAACCUAUAGAAACCAGUGAGUUGCCUAAGGAAUGGAAGUUCAACAGAAACCACCCUUUAGACAACAUUAUAGGCGAUAUCUCUAAAGGUGUUGCAACUAGGAGAAACCUUAGUCAGUUUUGUAACUUUACAGCCUUUGUAUCUCAGAUUGAACCUAAGAACAUUAAGGAAGCCCUGUUAGAUAGUGAGUGGAUACUUGCUAUGCAAGAGGAGUUAAACCAGUUUGAGAGAAACAAGGUGUGGAGUUUAGUACCUAGGCCAGAGGGUAAGCAUGUCAUAGGAACCAGAUGGGUGUUCAGAAACAAGUUGGAUGAGAAUGGUGUGAUAACAAGGAACAAAGCCAGAUUAGUAGCAAAGGGUUAUAGUCAAGAGGAGGGAAUAGAUUUUGAUGAAACCUAUGCCCCUGUAGCUAGAUUAGAAGCCAUAAGAAUUUUAUUGGCUUAUGCUUGUAUAAUGGACUUUAAUCUUUAUCAAAUGGAUGUGAAAAGUGCCUUUCUCAAUGGUGACCUUCAAGAGGAAGUUUUUGUUAGCCAAACACCUGGUUUUGAAAAUCCUGAUUUUCCUAAUCAUGUGUAUAAGCUCUCAAAGGCCCUCUAUGGGUUAAAACAAGCUCCAAGAGCUUGGUAUGAGAAGCUCAGCAAUUUCCUUAUUCAACAAAACUUUUUAAGAGGAAAUGUUGACAAGACCCUUUUCACAAAAACUACUGGAAAUGAUAUCUUGCUUGUCCAAGUAUAUGUUGAUGACAUAAUAUUUGGAUCUACAAAUAAUAAACUGUGCAAAGAAUUUGAAAAUUUGAUGAAAGGUAAAUUUGAAAUGUCAAUGAUGGGUGAACUGUCAUAUUUCUUGGGAUUUCAAAUUAACCAAAGCAAGCAAGGCAUUUUCAUUAGUCAAUCUAAAUACUGUUCUGAUUUGAUAAAGAAAUUUAACUUUGAAAAUCUUAAGUCCAUUGAUACACCCAUGAGUCAAGGAAAUUUCUUAGACCGAGAUGAGAAAGGUAAACCUGUAGAUGUUACUAGAUUUCGUGGUAUGAUUGGAUCUCUGCUCUACCUUACAGCAAGCCGACCAGACAUCAUGUUCAGUGUUUGUAUGUGUGCAAGGUAUCAAUCAAAUCCAAAGGAAUCUCACUUCAGUGCAGUUAAGAGAAUUUUCAGAUACUUGGUAGGAACUAAAAGUCUUGGAUUGUGGUAUCCAAAAGGAUCAACAUGUACAUUGAUUGGUUACUCAGAUUCAGAUUUUGCCGGUUGUAAACUCGACAGGAAAAGUACCUCAGGAACUUGUCAUCUGCUUGGAAAUUCUCUAGUGUCUUGGUUCAGUAAGAAGCAAACAAGCAUUGCGUUAUCUACUGCUGAAGCUGAAUAUAUUGCAGCUGGGAGCUGUUGUGCUCAGAUUCUGUGGAUGAAACAGCAUUUAUUGGACUUUGGUGUUGAUUUGGGAACAGUACCUAUCAUGUGUGAUAACACAAGUGCAAUAAGUAUAACCAAGAAUCCAGUAAUGCACUCCAGGACCAAACACAUUGAAGUAAGACAUCAUUUUAUAAGGGAUCACUUUCAAAAUGGAAUCAUUAAGCUUGAGUAUGUUAACACUGCCGAACAGCUAGCUGACAUCUUCACAAAAGCUUUACCAAGAGAAAGUUUUCUGCAUAUAAGGAUGAAACUAGGGAUCAUUGAUCCUAGUGAGGUAUGAUCUUUGAUUCUUUCAUAGGACACUUCUGGUGUUUGCAGUUACUUUCCAGUUAAAUCGAUUUGGGAAUCGAUUACCAGCAUGGUAAAUGGUUUACAAAAUCGAUUUGGGAAUCGAUUGCUUUGGCCCCAGAAUUCAAAGUUCAGAAAAUUUUUUUUAACUUGCCCAAGCGUCGACUGGGAAAUCGAAUAGUUCUUCUUUCAACGUUAAAACAAUCGAUUUGGACAUCGAUUAAGUAAAUCUGGAAAUCGACUUGGGAAUCGAUUUACAAUAUGACCGUUGUGACUAGCCGUUGUAUGUAAUAAUUACUAAAUCGAUUGACAUUACCAGUAACGGUAACCUAAUCGAUUUGGGAAUCGAUUUACACGGUUAAGGGUUUAAAUAGGAACAGUUAUCAAUCGAUUUCUGCACUUCAGUUCUCCAGAUUUCACUAAUUUUCUUUGUCUGCUUCAUCUCUCUGUUUCUGCAAUUGUUAUUUUGAUACUGUCUACAUUCAAUCUACUUCAAUCUACGAUUAUGGCACGAGUUAAACAAACCCAGGCACGCACCCCCUCACCUUCAUCAUCUUCAACCAGUGAAACCCCUUCACCACCACCUACUUUAACCAAAAGAGUACCUAUUCCCACACAUAAAAUUCUUGCCAAAGACAAAGGCAAGGCACCUGCUGCUAUUCAAGAGAAACCUAAAAAGAGAAAGGAACCCCUAACGGAAAAACUCAUGGUUGAUGCCAUGAAGGAAAUCUCACAAAAGAGGAAGAAGAAACCAGUUUCUUCACCCCCUCCCAAGAAAGCUCCUGCAUCCAAGGAAAAAGAUGCAGAACCUUCUAUACCAUCAGACUUUCUGAAGAGAAAAAUCCAUGAGGGUCGGACUCUGGAUUUUGCCUACUUUGAUGCAGACAGUUUUACGUUUCAGAACCAUCUGAGAUUUCACGGUCUUGAGAGCUUUCUGUCUUCUACUCUUGAUAGUUAUCCACGUUUGAUAAGGGAAUUUUACUCUACAUUCAAGCUAACUGAAGAAGGUUUUAAGGCUCAGGUCAAAUGGAAAAGGAUUUCUAUGUCCUUUGAUGAUUUUUCUACUUUAUCAGGAUUGCCAUUUCAGGGAAAAUCUAUCGACGGCAGUUUUGAAGUUGAUACGGCUGAGAAGGAUGGGAAGAAUCGGUUGACAGGCACACUGCAGUUAAGGACCUGAUGAUUGAUGGUUUUGUGGAAACCAUUUCAUUACCUAUCGGUCAAAUGAAGGUCCAACAUCGUAUGCUGAUGUACACGCUGACUCGGAUGCUUGUUCCACGUUCAGGUAACCAUGCAGUAGUUCAGAAGUUGGAUAUACUACUGUUGUGGGGUUUGUCCAAGGAGCUCAGGAUGAGCUGGGCUUGGAUUGUGCUAAGGCAUAUGCUGGAAGCUUCACAGAGCAAGCUUAUGCUGCCUUAUCCACAGCUGAUUACCAAGAUUCUGAAACAGUUCAAGGUAUCGUUUGUUAAUGAAGAAUCUGCAAAGACCACUCUAAUUUUUGGAGAAUCAAUUGUAAACCAGAUGCAAUUGAAAAGGUUACAUGGUAUUUGGAUAAGACCUCAGCCUACUGUUGAACCAGCACAACCUCAACCAUAACCUCAGCCUCAACGUGCUACUGAUACAGCCCCUCUUGAGUUUAUUGCAAAGAUAAUGGAAUUCAUAGAAGCUCAGAUGGCACACAAUGCCAAGAUGCUAGAAUCACAAUCCAAAAUGGAAGAAAAUUUGAGGACUCUCCAGGCAUCCCUGAAGUCAGUUGUUCAGGAUGUGGAUGCUAUUCAAGCACACUUAGGCAUCAAGCUGUCAUUUGAAGACAUCGCAGACAUCGGUCGUCAAGCAACAGAGGAACCUAACCCAACUCCCCUAGAUCACCCUGCGACUCACGUUGAGGAGACACCUGCUGAGGUUAAUACAACGGUCUCUGCCUCUCCCGUAGAUAAUAGUGAGGACCAGCCUAAUUUAGGAGAUUAGGAGUUUAGGAUCUGGGUUGUUUUGUAAUGACUUGAUGUAUUCAUUUCAUCUAUAUACAUAAUGCAUUAGAACGUUUAUUCCAUCUCUCUCUGAAUUCAUUUGUUUGAUAUGCUCAUUUAUUGCUCUGAUACACAAUGUUUUAUAAUUUCAAUCCCCAGCGCUUAUGUUCAUUAACAUAGGGGGAGGAAAUUUUUUUUUCUGCCUUUUUUCCUUAACUGACAAAGGGGGAGAAAAAUUAUAACUUGCUUAUGACUGCUGCUGCAUAAUUCUGCUCUGAUACUUUGCUCUAAUAAGAAUGAAUUAUUAAAAUGCUCUGAUUUUUGAUAAAUAGCAUGUGUACUGUUAUGCUAGGAUGUUAUGAUACUCUGAUGUUAUAAUCUGAUAAUGGUACAUAUGAUGCUAUGAAAUGUUGUUAAUAUUAUGUCUUGAAAUGCUCAACUCAAGUUAAAAUUGUAUGAUUGUCACUUAUGCAAAAAGGGGGAGAUUGUUGGACUUUAGUCCUUUGAAUCCUAAUUUUGACAUAAUUAACAAACAUACAAUGUUCGUACAUCAUAUGAUAAAUCUAACAUUUUAAUUGAGCAAGAUUUCAGGAACAACAACUCAACCCUACACACUUGAGACAAAUUGCUUGGAACUCAAGAAAUCAACAAAAGUUGAAUAUUCACUGCGUAAAUCGAUUGAGAAAUCGAUUUCAUAAAAAGGGUUGUAAGGAAUCUAACUGUUUGUGAUUGUAUAAUCGAUUAGGCAAUCGACUGGCACAAUUAGAAAUUAAAAUUGCGCAAGUCAGUGGCAACCUGUUUUACAGGCUAAUCGAUUGGCAAAUCGAUUGUGCACAUCACAAAGUAAAACUGAUUGAAACAAAUCGAUUGGGAAAUCGAUUGGACAAGUCACAGUGACAAUCCAUUUUCUAGGGUAAUCGAUUGGCAAAUCGAUUGCUUAGAUAAUAUUUGAAAAGUAACAUGACCUGUGACAAACACAAUCGAUUGGACAAUCUAUUGUGAAAAUUUCAAUCAUGUUAAGUUUGGUUUCAAUCGAUUGGGAAAUCGAUUGAACUAAACAUCUGGUAAGAACUUUUCANNNNNNNNNNNNNNNNNNNNNNNNNNNNNNNNNNNNNNNNNNNNNNNNNNNNNNNNNNNNNNNNNNNNNNNNNNNNNNNNNNNNNNNNNNNNNNNNNNNNNNNNNNNNNNNNNNNNNNNNNNNNNNNNNNNNNNNNNNNNNNNNNNNNNNNNNNNNNNNNNNNNNNNNNNNNNNNNNNNNNNNNNNNNNNNNNNNNNNNNNNNNNNNNNNNNNNNNNNNNNNNNNNNNNNNNNNNNNNNNNNNNNNNNNNNNNNNNNNNNNNNNNNNNNNNNNNNNNNNNNNNNNNNNNNNNNNNNNNNNNNNNNNNNNNNNNNNNNNNNNNNNNNNNNNNNNNNNNNNNNNNNNNNNNNNNNNNNNNNNNNNNNNNNNNNNNNNNNNNNNNNNNNNNNNNNNNNNNNNNNNNNNNNNNNNNNNNNNNNNNNNNNNNNNNNNNNNNNNNNNNNNNNNNNNNNNNNNNNNNNNNNNAACACAUUGUUAACAUUCUGAUAUUGCUUUUUCAGAUCAAAGCCAAAAAGAUUAUCCAUAAUCAUUGAGAGAGCUGAAAAAGUAUUCUUGAGAGAAAAGACAAUGUUCUCAUAAACAAUCAUUGAAUAACCAGAUUCGUGAAGAGAUACAUUGAUCAAGAUUGAAGACACUUUUUGUACUUCUUUUAUUUUGCUUGUAAUAAAUUCUUUGUAAAGAAACGACUGCGAAAAAUCCAGCUAGAAACUGGUGGCGAUCUUCUUGGGUGAGAGGCCUCAUCAAGAAGGAGCUUGACUUGAUUUUGUGUGAGUCUGCCGAGUGACUGCAAGGAUCAAGGGGUUAAGCAAUAGGAAAGAGAUUGUGUUAGAUAGAUAGGUUUCGAGGAAACUGGACAAUCUGUAAACAAGUCACAAUUCUUUCUAUUGGAGAAAAAGCUGAAAUCCAGUUGGAUUGUCAGGACUGG